GACGAACGCUGGCGGCGUGCUUAACACAUGCAAGUCGAACGGAAAGGCCCUGCUUUUGUGGGGUGCUCGAGUGGCGAACGGGUGAGUAACACGUGAGUAACCUGCCCUUGACUUUGGGAUAACUUCAGGAAACUGGGGCUAAUACCGGAUAGGUGCUCCUGCUGCCUGGUGGGGGUUGGAAAGUUUCGGCGGUUGGGGAUGGACUCGCGGCUUAUCAGCUUGUUGGUGGGGUAGUGGCUUACCAAGGCUUUGACGGGUAGCCGGCCUGAGAGGGUGACCGGCCACAUUGGGACUGAGAUACGGCCCAGACUCCUACGGGAGGCAGCAGUGGGGAAUAUUGCACAAUGGGCGGAAGCCUGAUGCAGCAACGCCGCGUGCGGGAUGACGGCCUUCGGGUUGUAAACCGCUUUCGCCGGUGACGAAGCGUGAGUGACGGUAAUGGGUAAAGAAGCACCGGCUAACUACGUG
rnacentral:rRNA from 1 species